rnacentral:rRNA from 1 species
UGCUUAACACAAGUUGAGUAGGGAAAGUUUUUCGGUGUAGGAUGAGACUAUAUAGUAUCAGCUAGUUGGUAAGGUAAUGGCUUACCAAGGCUAUGACGCUUAACUGGUCUGAGAGGAUGAUCAGUCACACUGGAACUGAGACACGGUCCAGACUCCUACGGGAGGCAGCAGUAGGGAAUAUUGCGCAAUGGGGGAAACCCUGACGCAGCAACGCCGCGUGGAGGAUGACACUUUUCGGAGCGUAAACUCCUUUUCUUAGGGAAGAAUUCUGACGGUACCUAAGGAAUAAGCACCGGCUAACUCCGUGCCAGCAGCCGCGGUAAUACGGAGGGUGCAAGCGUUACUCGGAAUCACUGGGCGUAAAGGGCGCGUAGGCGGAUUAUCAAGUCUCUUGUGAAAUCUAAUGGCUUAACCAUUAAACUGCUUGGGAAACUGAUAGUCUAGAGUGAGGGAGAGGCAGAUGGAAUUGGUGGUGUAGGGGUAAAAUCCGUAGAUAUCACCAAGAAUACCCAUUGCGAAGGCGAUCUGCUGGAACUCAACUGACGCUAAGGCGCGAAAGCGUGGGGAGCAAACAGGAUUAGAUACCCUGGUAGUCCACGCCCUAAACGAUGUACACUAGUUGUUGGGGUGCUAGUCAUCUCAGUAAUGCAGCUAACGCAUUAAGUGUACCGCCUGGGGAGUACGGUCGCAAGAUUAAAACUCAAAGGAAUAGACGGGGACCCGCACAAGCGGUGGAGCAUGUGGUUUAAUUCGAAGAUACGCGAAGAACCUUACCUGGGCUUGAUAUCCUAAGAACCUUUUAGAGAUAAGAGGGUGCUAGCUUGCUAGAACUUAGAGACAGGUGCUGCACGGCUGUCGUCAGCUCGUGUCGUGAGAUGUUGGGUUAAGUCCCGCAACGAGCGCAACCCACGUAUUUAGUUGCUAACGGUUCGGCCGAGCACUCUAAAUAGACUGCCUUCGUAAGGAGGAGGAAGGUGUGGACGACGUCAAGUCAUCAUGGCCCUUAUGCCCAGGGCGACACACGUGCUACAAUGGCAUAUACAAUGAGACGCAAUACCGCGAGGUGGAGCAAAUCUAUAAAAUAUGUCCCAGUUCGGAUUGUUCUCUGCAACUCGAGAGCAUGAAGCCGGAAUCGCUAGUAAUCGUAGAUCAGCCAUGCUACGGUGAAUACGUUCCCGGGUCUUGUACUCACCGCCCGUCACACCAUGGGAGUUGAUUUCACUCGAAGCCGGAAUACUAAACUAGUUACCGUCCACAGUGGAAUCAGCGACUGGGGUGAAGUCGUAACAAGGUAACCGUAGGAGAACCUGCGGUUGGAUCACCUCCUUUCUA